AAAAUUAAAGUGUGAUGAUUGUGUUUUCAUGCUGAGUGGGAGACGUGCCUCUCUCAACCUCAUUACACGCUGGCACAGUGCAAUCUGACA
rnacentral:snoRNA from 1 species